AGGGAUUUAGCUCAGUGGCAUAAAGCACAUGCUUGGCAAGCUUGAGGUUGUGAGUUUAAUCCCUG
rnacentral:tRNA from 1 species